CUUGCUCUCUGGGUGACGAGCGGCGGACGGGUGAGUAAUGUCUGGGAAACUGCCUGAUGGAGGGGGAUAACUACUGGAAACGGUAGCUAAUACCGCAUAACGUCUUCGGACCAAAGUGGGGGACCUUCGGGCCUCACGCCAUCAGAUGUGCCCAGAUGGGAUUAGCUAGUAGGUGGGGUAAUGGCUCACCUAGGCGACGAUCCCUAGCUGGUCUGAGAGGAUGACCAGCCACACUGGAACUGAGACACGGUCCAGACUCCUACGGGAGGCAGCAGUGGGGAAUAUUGCACAAUGGGCGCAAGCCUGAUGCAGCCAUGCCGCGUGUGUGAAGAAGGCCUUCGGGUUGUAAAGCACUUUCAGCGAGGAGGAAGGGUGGUGUGUUAAUAGCGCAUCACAUUGACGUUACUCGCAGAAGAAGCACCGGCUAACUCCGUGCCAGCAGCCGCGGUAAUACGGAGGGUGCAAGCGUUAAUCGGAAUUACUGGGCGUAAAGCGCACGCAGGCGGUUUGUUAAGUCAGAUGUGAAAUCCCCGCGCUUAACGUGGGAACUGCAUUUGAAACUGGCAAGCUAGAGUCUUGUAGAGGG
rnacentral:rRNA from 1 species